AUACCCAGCUAAUUUUUUUAUUUUUUAUAGAGAUGGGGUUUUGCCAUGUUGCCCAAGCUGGUCUUGAACUCCUAGGUUGAAGCCAUCCCCCAACCUUGGCCUCCCAAAGUGCUAGGAUUACAGGCAUGAGCCACUGCGCCUGGCAACUUUGCCUUCUUAGUUUGUCUUGCAGGUUUCAGUGCUUCUAAUAAUAAAAAUAAGUCUUUUAUUUUCCCACCUUUUCUCAGGCUCUUGUUAAUAGCUUCUCUAUCAUUAGUCCCCAACACUAAUAGCUUUCAAGUCCUUUGAUGCCUUUUUGCCUAAGCCCCCAUGCAGACUGAGCUCUGCUAGUUCUGCAUUCUUUUCCAAAACUACAGAUCCUCUUCAGAUCUUCAGGUUUUAUGCCUAUACUUCUCUGGUCAGUUCAGAAUAGUGGUGGGGAGCGCCAGUUUCCAGCAGCCAGACCCCCCGGGUUAGAAUCCUUGGGCAAAUUACUUAUAUUUUGGAUCUGUUUCCUCAUCUGCAAAAAGGGAAUACUAGUCUCUAACUGAUAGGGUUGUUGUGAAGAUGAGUCAGUAUACUUAAAGCACUUGGCCCCAUGCCCAGCACCUGGUAAGUACUGGUAAGUAUUCAAUAAAUGAUGAUUGAAUAUUGAGUGGCCCCCACGUACCUCAAUCACAUCCAAGCUCUUAAUAAAUAAUGUCAAGAAUCCUUCCCCAGUUGGUGUUCCUGUUAAUCCAUCAGUGUUCCCGAUAAUCCAUCUGUCUGCAUGUCCCAGUUUGUAUCUAGCCAGGUGUCGUAAGUCAUUACAGCUUCCUGUGUGUGAUUUGUGACUUAUUUCUAAGCCUUCGCAUGUACUAUUUCUUCCUUCCUGCUAACCAUGUCUUUCUUCCUUCAAAACUUCCUUGAGAAGUUUAGGAAAAUCCCAUCCAAUUCUGCCAUUUUAAUAACUGCCAGAUUUGUUUUUAGUGGGGUGAUCUGGGGAAUGUGGGUUUCCUUCUCUUUUUUAGCCAUUAGCAAUUUUACACUCAGCUCUUAGUUAUUCGUGUUGAUGGAGACAGGAUGACAGUGGGGCUCCUCCAGAACUCAAGUCCUGUUAGGGUUUGGUCACCAGAGGCUUUUUCUGCUUUGUUGUAGGCCUCUUAGGUCAGUAUCUGGGUCAGGCUGAUGUUAAAACGUUUACCAGUUGGUAUGAUCUUAGGAAAUGCAAAUGAGGGAGAAGGCCUGAAGGUGCCCUAAGGGCCAGGGAGGCCAGCUAGGGAUUAAAAAUGUGCAAUGGCAGAGGCACACACAACCUAAAACCAUUCUUGUAGUUUUCUGUAAGACUUAUCUCCAUUAUUAGGUUGGCUUGUUACUGGCAAAUACUACUUUUUUUUUUUUUUUUUUGAGAGUCUUGCUCUGUCACCUAGGCUGGAGUGCAGUGACAUGAUCUUCACUCACUGCAACCUCCGCCUCCCGGGUUCAAGUGAUUCCCCUGCCUCAGCCUCCCA
rnacentral:lncRNA from 10 species